rnacentral:lncRNA from 1 species
AAAAUAAAUAAAAGUAGUGCGGUGCUGGAAAGUAAAUAAAAAUAGUGUGGUGCAAGAAAUAAAGGAAAGUAGUGCAGUGCGAGAAAUAAACAAAGUAAAGUGCGAGUGCGGGAAAGUAAACAAAAUAAAGACAGUGCGGGAAAGUAAACAAAAUAAAGGCAGUGCGGGAAAAUAAAGUAGAUAAAGGUAAAGCAAUAAAACAUGUUCCAAUUGGAGGGUCGAAUAAAGUGCGU